ensembl:lncRNA
GGAAACGGUCCACACUAAAUAUUCACUGCUUUGGUUUGUUUGAUAAUAUUUUGACAAAUUUAGUAAUAAAUACUAGAUUAUACAUCUGCGAGUGGGAAUAACAUAGAGACACUCUAUUAACAUGAUGAACGUUAGAGCCUCUAACUGUGCUCGGAACUGUAAGAGCUCCAACUCUAGAACCCUGUUAGAGCUCUAGAACACUGGUAGAACUCUAGAACACAGAUAGAGCUCUAGAACCCUGUUAGAGCUCUAGAACACUGGUAGAACUCUAGAACACGGAUAGAGCUCUAGAACCCUGUCACUGAGAGAGCCAAAAAACCCUGUUAGAGCUCUAAUUAUAGAACAAUGUUAGAGCCCUAGCUGUAGAAACUGUCAGAUAUCUAGUAGACUGUUUGAGCUCUCGUUCUAGAACCCUGUGGGAUCCAGAACACGUGGAGGAAAAUGCUAAUCCAUAUUUAUGCUCAGUAACAACAUUUGAAUGGCAUGAUAUUUAUUUAAAGGUGAUUUCACAACGCUCAGUACUAAUUAUUAAUAUGCAUCGUUUUCUUUUUGGCAUUAGGGGUCACAAGAUGUUAUUAAGUCAAUGUUACACAUGAAUGUUUGUGCGAGUGUGUGUGUGUGUGUGUGUGUGUGUGUGUGUGUGUGUGUGUGUGUGUGUGUGUGUGUGUGUGUGUGUGUGUGUGUGUGUGUGUGUGUGUGUGUGUGUGUGUGUGUGUGUGUGUGUGUGCGCGCUCUUCUUGAAAACAUGAAUUAGUUGUGAGGAUGGUUGUGAUAUUGCAUGAAGGUUUAACAGACAACUCAGUCUCUCUUUGAAACAUGAGGAGGACUUGAAAAGAGUCUCUCGAAAAGAUUUAAUUGAGUCUAUUGUGCCAUAAAGCAAAACAGCAUCCAUCACAUGUGGUAUAAACCGGUGAAAACCUGUUCAAUCCGGUGUUAUGGUGCCCCAGUCUAGUCCCAUGGUUCCCUGGUUGGUUCCCUCCCAGCUGAUGGGUGACCAGACUUCUGGAGACCAGACGACAACAUCACACACACUCUGAUUAAUAGAUUUAAUACACUUCAAUGACCUCCCAUCGAAAGGGUGGAACUUUUUGAAAGUAUUUUUUAUCUUGACUGUUUA